AAAGCAAACAGCAGUGCCAGUGUAUGGAUGUAACGCUGGCCCCACCAGACCAGAGAUGUGGACUAUGAAACUUAGAGAGAACUGAAGGCAGGCAGUCAAUCUACAAUCUGAGCCCAUGGUUUGAAGAUGGUUUGUUUGUCCUAGUCAUGGUCUCUUGAGAUGCUUGAACCCACAAUCAUGGUUUAACCUUGGUUUGUUCCAGUGGCUCUGCCUUUGCAGGGCUCUCACAUAAAGAGGAGCAAAGCUGGAUCAUAAAGAGGAGCAAAGCUGGAGUCUCAGAGCUCUUAAAAUCAACCCGGCAAAGGCCGCCUGAAGUUACCACUACUCAGAGAAGAGGAUGUGUGCACUGUGGGAGGCAUUCAAGGAACUGGGCCUCUUCUGUGCAGUUCAAAAGGAGAGGUGGCUUUUCGAGUAAUGGGGCACUUCUCUGAAAUACGGCUUAUAACCUGGCACUCUGAGAUCACAGGAGUCAUAACAGUUCAAAGGAAUACAAACAUUUAGACAGUACUGCACCGUUGGAACUACACUAGGCCAGCAUGUUCUAAUGAAGGGACAUCUGGUUCUUUUGAAACUGAGCUUCUGAACACCCAGAGUCCUGGACGGUAAGGUGUGUGGCUUCCGAUUAUAGCAGCAGAUUUAUGUUUCUCGAAAUCAUUCACUCUUGAGUAAUUUGUGAAGGAUAGCUUCAGAAACAAGCAAAUGGGACCAGAAGGAUGAAUUCACCAGGCCAAACUUCUGGACAGCCAAGCUGAACACAGUCAACAGUUUUCUUGAUUAGAUAAAGAACAGGCUGUCCCAAAAUGAUGAAAGUUCACAAGGCAAGACAUCGGAGAUGAUUUGGCCGUGGAUUUUCCAGGAGAUUUAAAAACAAACCAUUAUUGCUCAAUAGAACUCAAAUGAGUACUUUAUUUUUUGGCAUCAGAAUAUAGCACCAAACAGGCAACACAGUGCACUUUAUGUCUAUGAACAUCCAACUGGGAUUGCUAAGGAAUUCCUGAUUCCUCAAAGACAGAGGGACAAUAUUAUAACUGUACUAAGCAGCUAGCAUCACUGAACAUCACAGAGAUGGAUUCUUCAUAAUAUGUUGAUAUCUUUAAUGUUUAGGAUUAGAGUCUUGCCUUCCUAUCCCCAAGAAGUAAGGGACAAUGUGUACUUUAAUUGCUCUAAAAGCACAAUAUGGAACAAACUGUAACCUGGACUGUUUUCUUGGGUGUGUAAGAAAGUACAGAACACAGUGCGCUUGUACUGCUUUUUCCAAAAGUUCAGAAAGUAAGCAGGGUAAAGUAGCUGAAUGAGCAGCUACCAUUCAGAUGAAAGCAAACAACUACUCCCAUCCCAACUACCUUUUCAUGUUUUAUGCAUGGCUUAUUGUAAUAUUAAUGCAAACAUUCUGAAUGCAUCUUGAAAUCUAAUUAUCAGUUUUAUGAUGUCUCAGCCAUUUAAGAUGCCUUCUAGGAAGAAGCUGGUUGAGUCAGCAGCAGCUGAAAUUCGCUGGUGGUUAAGGAGUGUGUGGAAUGAGCUACUUCUCUCUCCACUGACUAUACCAUCACUUUCAUGCAUGAACUAUUCCCCACAAUCAUUCAGCAAAAAUAAUGUUGAUAAAUGAAGUGGUUGAUAUAUGGAAGUGUGUGUUUGUGUGUGUGUGUGUGUGUGUGUGUGUGUCCAAAAGAGAGAGCAAAUAAAAUGUUUGUUGGCACUUUUGUAAGCACCAUUAUUAGAAUUGCUCUGAUAUUAUACAAAUCCCUGGCACAUAAUCUUAUCAAUUUUUUCAAUUUGCUGUUGCUGAGCCAAUCCAGCACUCUAGUCCUCAGCCAACCUUCCACAGCUUUUCCUUCCUGAGUGGUCAGUGAGUUCUGGAGCUCACCCAUCAUCUUCUCCAGGAGAAGAGAAGUGGGCAAAACUUGGCUCAGUUGUGUUGCCUCAGCACACAAGCUUUUUGCUGCAAGAAAGAAAAGCUCAAGUGUCGAGACAACCUGGGAAAUGAGCUCCCAGUCUGUACUAGACAGGUCGCACCCUUCCAAGUCACACCUCCAUGCCAGACACAAAAUGCCAUGGCCAGGCUACCCUCAACAUAUUGGCACCAUUGUCGGUGACCAUGAAGCCUUGGCAAAGGUUUGGCUGCCUGGACAGCCAUUCCUCCACCAGGCAUUUAGUGAUCACCAACAGCUCAUCUGCUGUGUUGUCUACUGGCUCCAUAUGCAGAACAGCCCACCUGGGCUUUGCUGCAUGGGAGGGUCGGCCACCCCACCACCAGCAGAUGAGGUCCCCCCUCUCUCUGGCCCCCACCAGUGUGCCGUGAGGUACAGGAAAGCAGUCUGCAUCCCACUACAGCUGGUCCACAGAUCUGUAAUGAAGUGCAGGCUGGUGUUGGGCCCUGCUGACUCCAGCAGCCCUGACACAAGCUCCCUGCAUGCAUGGUACUUGGGGGGCGAGCACCGCCACCACUACUGUGGUGCAUGAGGGAAUCUCGUAGCUGGGGGCAAGCAGCUGGAGCAGUUGGCAGAAGCUGGUGUACUCCACCAUCUGGAAUGGCUAGUUGUCCAGAGCCACCAUCUCUCCAAUGGUCUGGGUGAUGAGAUGUGCCUUUGAGCGACCAGACUGCUUGCCCGCCAACUGCACCCACUAUGCAACUGGCAAUGUUCCUUGCUUGAGAGCUGGGGCACAUGUCUUGCCACCAUUAGUCGAGGGCACACCAGGCAGCCUAGCACUGUCAGCAGGAGCAAAGACCACCGGAUGAUGCCACUGCACGUGCCUCAGCAUUGCCAACUUCCCUAGACACUUAGCACACUUGCCCCUGCUGACAUGUGCCUUGCAGUGGUUGCAGACAGCAUGUGUAGGGUCACCUUGCGGGAGCUCAAUGUGGUCCCACACCAUGCUGCUGUCAGUCCUGGUGGUGGAACUACUGGGGAUGCUGGUUCCUGCUGGGAACUGCACACACUCAAGCUAGAAAAAACCCAAAUAAAGAAGCAAGUUUUAUUGCAGGGGAGGCCUUUUAGGAGGGCAGCAAGCAACAAUGGGGUAACUACAUCCAAGGAAAGUGGGGGAAAGGGGAUUACUGUGGCCUAAGCUACUUAUACCUAGUACCCUCCUAACCCAGUCCUACUGUACCUCCCAACCUGAAUCCCUCCAAGUCCCUUCCCCCAAACUAGGCCCUAUUUAAAAGAAAGAAAUCUAACCUAACCAAAGCAAGGGGGUUUGUGGGGGGGGGGCACUCACCAAUCCAACAUCUUCUUUCGGUGUCUUCAGCUGAAGUCUAGCCAGGGGUUCCAGGCAACCAGGCUGAGCAUAGACUGGCACUCAACAGCCGGGGGUGGGCAGAUGAGGACCAGCAGAUAGGCCAUCCUCCCACCCCCCAAAAGAACAAAAAGAUAAACUAAGGAAAACUAAAGCAGUUGAUACUGCAAAAGAAAAAGAAAAAAUAAAGAGACAGAUAAGCAUCUGUCUCUUAGGCCCAGCCAAAAGGCAGGUCCACUCCAAAGCAGGCCAAGCAAAAACGCAUGUCCACUAAAAAGGCAGGCCCAACACAGGUCCAGCAAAGGCAGCAACAGCAGCAGAUGGUCCAGAAAGGCAGGCCUGGAAGGCAGGCAGUUCUUCCUCCAGAAAUCCAAAGGAAGAGUGAAGCCAGGCAGGCACUGCCUGCCUUUAAAUACACUUUGAAACUCCCUCCUUUUUGCUACCCACUCCCUCGUCCCUCCCCCACAGCCAAUGGGAGCAGAGUUGUCUUGACAACAUUCUGAUUUGAAUGACAACAAGCAAACCAGGAGAAAGGAGAUCACUAGCCAAUCAGAAGACAGUGGCAGAAAACCAAUAGCGAAGGUGAGAUUUUUUUCAAUGGAUUUUUGUCAAUGGAAGCAGAAAAUGGCAGCUGCCAUGCCACUCGAACCUUUGAACCAGUCUGAACCAGUUCUAUUUGAACCGGGCUCAAUCUGGUUCGAAUGCAGACUAGCUGCCUCUUUUCGAGGCCAGUCUGGUUCACCUUCAAAUUCAUAGAAUCAGGCCAUUUAAAAUCAACACCAGUUUGCACUGAAUGCUGUGUACUUAAGCCUUGAUCUUCAAUUGUUUAAUAUUUUAGCCUGAAAUCUACCUUAAAUCAUAGCAGGUUUCCAUCUGAUUUUUCAGAUUAGUCUGGAUUAGAAUUAUUAUUUAUUUAUGUCCUUGACCAUGAACAAAAACUUUAAUCCAUUUAUAAUGUGUUAAAGUCAAAUAAAUAAUAGAUCAUUAGGAAAACUUUCUCCUUUCUCAUUACAGAAGCCCUCACAAUUUCUCAGCUACUUGGCAACCAAUGCCAGGGCUUGUACCAUAGAAAUUCAGGAGGAAGACCAACUCUCCCAUGUCUAAUAUCUCAGUCCUGCUACCCAAAUGCUGGCUUUCGGAUGGCUGUGAGUUACUUAGUCCUUUCACCACUGUAAACAAGAUUAGCAACCCUGAUCUCCUCUUGGGAUGGGAGGGGAGGGGAAGUAGUUCACUUGACCCUUUCCUACCUUUCCCACUUCGUAUCCCCCAAGCUCAGGAGAUCAGCCCUAUAAGAAGUCACAGCAUAGAUAAUCUGGUGAUCACAAGAGCACCACUUUAGGAGAAUUCACUUUCCCCCGGCAGCCUUCUACACUUUUCCUAGAAGAAAUCUAUGAAUGAGAACUUGCUUCUGCUCACAGAUGGUCCUUUUUGAAUCAUGGGGAAUGACUUCAGUAGGACUAAAUGGAUGUUACUAGGUAUAAUAAUGUGUCCAUAUUUAUUUAUAAAUUAAUGCUGUGGCAGUGUUCUAAAAGUUGUUAAUGGCUGCCACAGCUAUUUACAUAAUUAGAACUGUGAAUUUAUACAAUUCAGAUCACAAAGCUUAUAUAAUAUGAAGUGCCUGCUCAACUAUUUGGUUUAUAAACUACAUUUAAAUGUAGCAAAAGAAACUGAAAUCCCUGCAUCUCAGGGGCCAGUUUGUUUCUGUCACCACAGCACAAAUUAUCUUAGCAAGAAAAUGAUGAAUAUAGUAACGAGUGAAGAUUGUCAAAAUAGCUAAAAUGGGAAAAUAGAUUUUGAAUCUCUUAGGUCUUGGUUGGAAAUGCCUAGAUUUACAUUCCAGAUUAAAUGGGCUUUCACACUAUAUUCUCUGCAGAGAUGACCUGACAUUCCAACCUUUGUGUUUUUGGUGUUUGGAAUUUGCAGUUCCUCCAGAAGCAGGAUUCUUUUAAGUGUUACUUCUAUUUUUGGACAUGCUCUGUUCUUUAUAUAGAAAAUCACUGCACUUUUCAAGUUGUAUCAACUUGGAAGCUUUAUGACUCAUGCCUCUAUCCUAAACCAAAUUACUUCUCCCUACUAUGGACCAUUUCAUGAUCAUUAUGAAAGGAUUUUCAAAACGGAAAUAUUCUUGAUACAGAUGCAGCCUCAAGUUUUUCUAUGUUUAAUUUCUGUAUAGGCUUACUCACAUUAAGUACUGGCUUGUUGGGUGCUAUGGUUUUUCAUUUCGGUCAAUACAACUAAAUGGUUUUGGUUGGUAAACCUUUGUGUAUUGUGUAAGCAUCUGUUUAAUAAAAGCUCUCUUAGUACAAAUUAGCAAAGAAUGAAAGACACGCAACUUUCUGUGACUUUUUGUAAUCACCACAUAUUCCAAAGUGUACCUCAUAGAUUUCAGUUGUUGUUGGAUCAUAAUGGGAAAAUGUUAUUUUCAAGUAACACUUGCACUGAAAUCUACUGAUUCAUUGUUUUAGAAUUUUUAGAAUCCCCUGCCCUGUUCCAGCCAUGGAGGAUGAGUUGUGCCCAAUGUGUGUUAAAUGGUCCUCUAAACAGCAAGACCUAGUUGCUGGGGUUUUAUCCUCAAAGCCAGCCAGUAGUAUUUGAAUCAUUUUUUCUGCUGGUGGCUCUGAUCUCCGUAUUAUUGAAAAUUAUAAUGGUUGGCUGGUAAUAAUUUGGCUGGUAACAAUUACGGAUAAACUUUCCAGUAUUGGCCUAGAUCCUGAAUUUUUAUUAGAAACUGACCUAGUGAAUGCAAAAAAAUUAGUUCGUCAAUGUCUAAAUGAUAUGGAGUUUCAGAACCAGUUGGCUUGUCUGCCAGCAUUUUACAGUCAGUUUAAGGCCAGGGUGGGUUUUCCCCUGGCUUCAUAUUUGUCUAUCAUAACUGUCAGAAAGUUCCGCUGGGCUUUUUCAAGAGCAUGCUUUAAUGCUUUUCCUUCAGCUGUAUUAAUGGGGAGAUUUCAACAUCUACCCCGCGAGGCUCGCUUGUGCCCUUGUGGUUCGGGUGAACCUGAAUCAAUCGUUCACAUUUUAUUACGCUGUAGAUUCUACAGUAACAUUAGAUGUCAUUUGAUUCUGCCACUUCUUUCUAGGUUUCAACAUCAAUCAGAUGAUUUUCUGGUGAAAUUUUUACUUGAAGAUAAUGUACUUUGCACAUCUCUCAUGUUGUAGCAAAAUUUUGUUACAUUGCAAUUAGAAUUUGUAGUUCAUUGAUUGAUGCUAAAGUUAAUGACUGAGAUAAUGAUGAAUGCUAGAAUUUAUUGUUUGUGUUGUUGUUGUUGUUUUGGCCAUUGGCCGUAAAUAAAGUAUCUAUCUAUCUAAUGAA